AACGAGCCCUGACCCUGCUAAAUAGCCCCCGUUGCUUCGGCAGCGCGCUGGCUUCUUAGAGGGACUAUCGGCUCAAGCCGAUGGAAGUUUGAGGCAAUAACAGGUCUGUGAUGCCCUUAGAUGUUCUGGGCCGCACGCGCGCUACACUGACGGAGCCAGCGAGUUUUUUCCUUGUCCGAAAGGUCUGGGUAAUCUUGUGAAACUC
rnacentral:rRNA from 1 species